UGCAGAUUGAAGCAAAGCUCCUCCUCCUGUCAGUCACUCUCAGUUUCAGUGAUGUAUUAAAUUGCUCCUCCAGCACCUCCUCUCCUCAUCCUCCAAACCCUCUCAUCUGUCAGCAGUAAGAUCACUUUCCAAGUCACAAGGCCAUUCUCAGCACACACUGCCAACAUGCUGGGGACCCUCUGCACUCUCAUCACUGCUCUAACAUGUGUGAGUGGUGUGACCGUGGUGACACAGAAGCCUCCUGUUGUCACGGUGAGGAAAGGAGAGACAGCCACCAUGGACUGUAACCUGGGGACUGUUACAAGCAGUGCUGCUCGCUGGUAUAAACAGAUUCCAGGAGGAGUUCCUCAGUUUGUAUUAUAUUUUAUACAUAGCUCUAGCUCUCCAACCUAUGGCUCUGGUUUCUCCUCUCCAAAAUUCACAUCUAAUCAUCAGUCAACAUCAGAUUAUCGUUUGAUCAUCAAAAAUGUGGAGGAGGGAGACUCAGCAGUCUAUUACUGUCAAACAUGGGACGGCUCUGCUAAGGAGAACGUAUCACAGUGAUUUACACUGUGACAAAAACCUCCUCACAAAUACUUCUGCUUUUUCUCUGACACAUCUUGACUAGGAAAGAAGCCAACAGCCAAUGAUUUCUGUAAAUUGCUCACUUAUAUAU